CACAAUGUAGUUAUCAUGUCUGCUCAAGAUAUUAUUUCACUGUUAUUCAAUGAUGAUCUAAGCAGCUGUAUGAAAAUAUGUUUUUGCUUUAAUUUGAGAAAGAGCUGAACCCCAUGAUCCUGGAUCCUGCUCUAACAGAUCCAGACCUGGACUUGGAUCUGCACCAGCUUUCGCCCAGACACGAGACAUCAGGGUCAUUUCAGGGUAAUCUGAUCAGAAUACACUCGGAUCGAUUAUUUAACUACCGCUGUCAUUAAAGCUGCGAGAGCGGAUACAAGCCGCGCAAUCUGUUUUCAUGUGCUCACAUAAUGUACAAAAGUGGAUUAUAUUUGUUUUACUAAAAGCGGUUAUUACCACACAGCCAUUAAUAACAAUGGAAAUUGUGUUUUGGCAGACCAGACAGAUGCAGCAGACAGUCACACAGGCCAGACAGAAAGGCGAUCUCUUUGUUUACCAUCUGAGUCGGUCGUAUUUGUUGUGGUAGACUCAGAUGCAGGAGGAGGGAGAAGAAGAAGAAACAGGAGACCACAGGAAGAGUCAAGUUCCCUUCCACAGGUGUGUGAAUUCAGACAGGUGGAGCUGGCAUUGAAUUACAUUUUUAAAGGUACCUUACAUGCAGCUUUUUGUCUGCUUUUGACUCUAAUUAAUCAUGAAUUUCAAGAAGGCAAGUAGUUGAAAACACGGAAGAGUAUUUGCCGA